AACGAACGCUGGCGGCAUGCCUAACACAUGCAAGUCGAACGAUGCCUUCGGGCAUAGUGGCGCACGGGUGCGUAACGCGUGGGAAUCUGCCUUUCGGUUCGGAAUAACUCAGGGAAACUUGAGCUAAUACCGGAUAACGUCGCACGACCAAAGAUUUAUCACCGAAAGAUGAGCCCGCGUAGGAUUAGCUAGUUGGUGAGGUAAAGGCUCACCAAGGCGACGAUCCUUAGCUGGUCUGAGAGGAUGCUCAGCCACACUGGGACUGAGACACGGCCCAGACUCCUACGGGAGGCAGCAGUGGGGAAUAUUGGAAAAUGGGCGAAAGCCAGAUCCAGCAAGGCCGGGUGAGUGAUGAAGGCCUUAGGGUUGUAAAGCUCUUUUACCCGGGAAGAUAAUGACGGUACCGGGAGAAUAAGCCCCGGCUAACUCCGUG
rnacentral:rRNA from 1 species